rnacentral:rRNA from 1 species
UACGUAGGGUGCGAGCGUUAAUCGGAAUCACUGGGCGUAAAGGGUGCGUAGGCGGGUCUUUAAGUCAGGGGUGAAAUCCUGGAGCUCAACUCCAGAACUGCCUUUGAUACUGAAGAUCUUGAGUUCGGGAGAGGUGAGUGGAACUGCGAGUGUAGAGGUGAAAUUCGUAGAUAUUCGCAAGAACACCAGUGGCGAAGGCGGCUCACUGGCCCGAUACUGACGCUGAGGCACGAAAGCGUGGGGAGCAAACAGG